AUUGAACGCUGGCGGCAUGCCUUACACAUGCAAGUCGAACGGCAGCACGGGAGCAAUCCUGGUGGCGAGUGGCGAACGGGCGAGUAAAGUAUCGGAACGUGCCCAGUCGUGGGGGAUAACGUAGCGAAAGUUACGCUAAUACCGCAUACGAUCUAUGGAUGAAAGCGGGGGAUCGCAAGCCCUCGCGCGAUUGGAGCGGCCGAUAUCAGAUUAGGUAGUUGGUGGGGUAAAGGCUCACCAAGCCGACGGUCUGUAGCUGGUUUGAGAGGAAGACCCGCCGCACGGGGAAUGAGACACGGACCAGGCUCCUACGGGAGGCAGCAGUGAGGAAUUUAGGACAAUGGGCGAGAGCCUGAUCCAGCCAUGCCGCGGGCAGGAUGAAGGCCUUCGAGUUGUAAACUGCUUUUGUACGGAGCGAAAAGGUUUGGCCUAAUAAGCUGAGCUCAUGACGGUACCGUAAGAAUAAGCACCGACUAACUACGUGCCAGCCGCCGCAGUAA
rnacentral:rRNA from 1 species